GCCUGGGUGGCACAGCGGUUGAGCGUCUGUCUUCGGCUCAGGGCGUGAUCCUGGCGUUGUGGGAUCGAGCCCCACAUCAGGCU
rnacentral:tRNA from 1 species